GGUAAUACGGAGGGUGCGAGCGUUAAUCGGAAUUACUGGGCGUAAAGCGCAUGCAGGUGGUUUGUUAAGUCAGAUGUGAAAGCCCGGGGCUCAACCUCGGAAUAGCAUUUGAAACUGGCAGACUAGAGUACUGUAGAGGGGGGUAGAAUUUCAGGUGUAGCGGUGAAAUGCGUAGAGAUCUGAAGGAAUACCGGUGGCGAAGGCGGCCCCCUGGACAGAUACUGACACUCAGAUGCGAAAGCGUGGGGAGCAAACAGGAUUAGAUACCCUGGUAGUCCACGCCGUAAACGAUGUCUACUUGGAGGUUGUGGCCUUGAGCCGUGGCUUUCGGAGCUAACGCGUUAAGUAGACCGCCUGGGGAGUACGGUCGCAAGAUUAAAACUCAAAUGAAUUGACGGGGGCCCGCACAAGCGGUGGAGCAUGUGGUUUAAUUCGAUGCAACGCGAAGAACCUUACCUACUCUUGACAUCCUCAGAAGAGACUGGAGACAGUCUUGUGCCUUCGGGAACUGAGAGACAGGUGCUGCAUGGCUGUCGUCAGCUCGUGUUGUGAAAUGUUGGGUUAAGUCCCGCAACGAGCGCAACCCUUAUCCUUGUUUGC
rnacentral:rRNA from 1 species